CUGAGUAAGAAGAAAGAAGCUGCCACUCCACCCUGCAACGUCUGCGUGGCCUCUACUUCCCAGCCAGCUGCUUGACGCCCACGGCCAAAGGCAGGAGGAGAGCAGCGAGCCUGCCCAAGGUCGCGUGUCCAGGAUCCCAUGGCAAUGGAUUGGUGGAGGGACAAUUUCUGGAUCAUCUUGGCUGUGGCCAUCAUCUUUGUCUCCGUGGGCCUGAGCAUCUUCCUGUUCUGUGUCUGUAGGCAUCUGUUUAGACAAGGCAAGAAAUGGGAAAUUACCAAGCCCUUGAAACAAAAGCAGAGAGAUGAAGAAACAAUGUAUGAGAAUGUUACCAAUCAACUCUCAGUUCAAUUACCCCCUCUGCCACCCAGGGGUGUGCUUUCUCCAGAAGUUGCCUCCCCACAGGAAACCCCAAGUUGGCCACCAGCUGCAUACUCAUCGGUAAAUAAAGUUAGAAAUAAGAAGACAAUGGCCGUCCCAAGCUAUAUUGAGCCUGAAGAUGACUAUGAUGAUGUUGAUAACCCUGUACAUACGGAAAACCAUCAUCUUGAAACAACCGUUUCUUCUUUUUGACAAGCAGAAGAGGGUUCGUUCAUACAGCUUAUUUUAAACAGUCAAGAAUGGUCGAACUUCAGUGGGUAUCCGGGUCCGAAAGGCAGUGGUAAUGGUACAGAGCUCUGUAAGAUAAGCACCUCCUGAAUUGUAGAUGAAGAAGCGUCAGUGAUCAGAUAAUUGCAGCCAGAGGAAAGACGCCCAUGCUCAGCUCUGAGGAGUCAGGCCUUGAGCUUCUGCUGAGCGAGGUUCCAGGCAGGGGACCACUGGGUUCCGCAGUCCCCACCCGAGGAAACGCUCAGUUCCCGGCACUCUUCCCCUGUUUGUGUGGUUCUAAGUGAUCUUAAAACUUGGCGUUUGAUUGUACAGAGCCUCCCAGGCUCCUAUCCCCAGCACAGCCCUCACCAAGCACAUGUCUUGCCCCCCCACACCCCAUCUCCCACACUGAGCGGCUAUGGGUGGUAGUUACAGCUAAGCGCUCUUGUGUGCAAGCCACCCGUCAUGCCCUGUGUGUCCUUCAAGGGUGGGGGAGUGUUUUUGUUCUUGUGGACCCUCCCCAAAUACACGAUCCCAAACCCCAGGGCCUCUCUAUGAUGUCAGCCAAACUGACCACAGAGACCCAAGUUCCCAGCCAGGGUUUUUCCACUGCUUGCCAGCUGCACCAUAACAAUCAACAAAGAACAGAAGUCACCUUCCGGACCACAGGACAGAAGUUACCCACAGAGGUGUUCAUUUUGUAUAUUGGGGGAGCUACAGGGAAAGUAGGUUUCCCCAGGAAAAAUCAUGCGGAACAGGAAAGAAAGGGGUGAUUACGUGAUUAGAUGAGAGUUCAGGGGGCUAAAUACCCUCCUCCGAUAUUUUCAUUACUGUUUCCUCCCUUGUGUAGAGUUCAAGGCAAACAGCGUCAAGCCCCUCCCUGCCAGAUCCCUGUCCCCAAGCUGGGAGGCAGAAACUCCAAUACAAUAUGCUGCAGCUAAUGACAUGCCCGGGGAGCUGGGCUGCUGUCCUGUUAAACAAGUGUCCUAAGGGGUCGCCGAGGCCCACGUCAGCUUUGGAGGCCCCUGAACAUCAUCGGUUCCUUCAGGUUGAUCUGCUAGAGCCCGAGGACUUGACACUUUCUAACCAAACUCACAAGAUGCUGACUUCUAAGCGACCCCUGGGAAAUCCAGCUAACAGGCUUGCAGGGAGAGCACCAUGAAUGGUGGAAAGGUGACCCUUGGACUGAGCUCCUCCUCAAGAGAUUGAAAAUAUGUUCCUGCCAUAUUUAAGCUUCCGCCCUCAACCACUGCAGGAGCAGUGGGGACGUGUCCUUCCUUCCCGGUUCUCUCUUUCUAGACUCCAAGGAAACUUCCAGCGUCUUAUAAUACCUCCUUUUAGGCCAGUGGUUCUCUAACUAUGGCCUUAGGGAACUCUGGUAUUCUGUGAGCCUAAGAGAGGACUCGUUUCUUAAAUUACAG